rnacentral:ncRNA from 1 species
CGCCGGCACCUUAUGAGAAAUCAAAGUCUUUGGGUUCCGGGGGGAGUAUGGUGCCAAGGCUGAAACUUAAAGGAAUUGACGGAAGGGCACCACCAGGCGUGGAGCCUGCGGCUUAAUUUGACUCAACACGGGGAAACUUACCAGGUCCAGACAUAGCAAGGAUUGACAGACUGAGAGCUCUUUCUUGAUUCUAUGGGUGGUGG